rnacentral:rRNA from 1 species
CGGAAUCACUGGGCUUAAAGCGUGUGUAGGCGGUUCGUUAAGUGUCUUGUGAAAUCCCACGGCUCACCCGUGGAACUGCUGGGCAUACUGGCGAUCUUGGGCCAACUAGGGGCAACUGGAACAAGCGGUGGAGCGGUGAAAUGCGUAGAUAUCGCUUGGAACGCCAAAGGUGAAAACAGGUUGCUGGGGUUGUGCCGACGCUGAGACACGAAAGCCAGGGGAGCAAACGGG